GGAGUCGAACAAGGGCGUAUGGAGGAUGCCUGGGCUCUCGGAGGCGAAGAAGGACGUGACAAGCUGCGAAAAGCCGCGGCGAGGGGCAAAUACCCAUUGACCCGCGGAUGUCCGAAUGGGGCAACCCGGCGGAAGCGAUUCCGUCAUCCGUGCGAAGUACGGAAGCGAACGCGGAGAACUGAAACAUCUUAGUACCCGCAGGAAGAGAAAGUAAACACGAUUCCCCCAGUAGAGGCGAUCGAACGGGGAAUAGCCCAAACCGGCGCCGUGAGCGAUUGCGGGUGCCGGGGUUAUAGGACCGCCCGGGAAAGCGGUAUGACAGGAUAGCGGAACCGGCUGGAAUGCCGGGCCGGAGAGGGUGAGAGCCCCGUAGGCGAAAUCCGGGUCAUACGGUGAGGGCGGCACCUGAGUAGGCCGGAGCACGAGGAAUUCCGGUUGAAUUAUCGGGGACCAUCCCGAAAGGCUAAAUACUACCGAGAGACCGAUAGCGGACGAGUACCGUGAGGGAAAGGUGAAAAGCACCUCGAACAGAGGAGUGAAAUAGACCCUGAAACCAUACGCCUACAAGCGGUCGGAGCCAUUAAGUAUGGUGACGGCGUGCCUUUUGCAUAAUGAACCUGCGAGUUGCCGUCGACGGCGAGGCUAAGGGCUUAAGGUCCGGAGCCGGAGCGAAAGCGAGUCCGAACAGGGCGAGGUCAGUCGUCGGAGGCAGACGCGAAACCGAGUGAUCUACGCAUGGGCAGGAUGAAGGACAGGUAACACUGUCUGGAGGUCCGCACCGGUAAGCGUUGAAAAGCUUUCGGAUGACCUGUGCGUAGGAGUGAAAGGCCAAUCAAACUCGGAGAUAGCUCGUACUCCCCGAAAUGCAUUUAGGUGCAGCCUCGGGCCCAGUACCGCGGAGGUAGAGCGACCGAUAGGAUGCGAGGGCUUCGCCGCCUAUCAAGUCCUGACGAACUCCGAAUGCCGCGGUAUGCUACCCGGGAGUGAGGGCGCGGGUGCUAAGGUCCGCGUCCGAAAGAGGAACAACUCAGACCACCGUCUAAGGCCCCGAAAUCCGGGCUAAGUUGAAGGCAAUAACGAGGUGGGGCCGCAGAGACAGCUAGGAUGUUGGCUUGGAAGCAGCCAUUCAUUCAAAGAGUGCGUAACAGCUCACUAGUCGAGUGGCCCCGCAUGGAUAAUAAUCGGGCAUAAGUCCGGUGCCGAAGACGUGGAAUCGAUCAGAUUUGAUUGAUUGGUAGGGGAGCAUUCCGCCACCGGCGAAGGCAGACCGCGAGAUCUGCUGGAGGAGGCGGAAAAGCAAAUGCAGGUAUAAGUAACGACAAAGGGGGCGGGAAACCCCCUCGCCGGAAGACCAAGGGUUCCUGAACAACGCUAAUCGGUUCAGGGUAAGUCGGGACCUAACGUCAGCCCUGAGGGCAGGAUGGAUGGACAUGCGGUCAAUAUUCCGCAACCUCUGUCAGGCGAGUGUCAGCGGAGACGGAGAAGCGAAACGCCCGCGCACCGACGGAAUGGUGCGUUGAAGGGAGGUAGCCUUAAUGGCACGGGGGAAACGUGUCAGGCGAGCCCCGAAAGUACGGACUGGUGCAUGCAUCGGUCUGACAGCGGCGGAGGAGCAGGCUCCCGAGAAAAUCCGCGCGGCGCGUCCGAGUCUGGCAGGGCCCGUACCGAAAACCGACACAGGUGGUCGGGUAGAGAAUACCAAGGCGCUCGAGAGAUUCACGGUUAAGGAACUAGGCAAACUGGCCCCGUAACUUCGGAAUAAGGGGCCCUCCCGUCGAGACGCGGGAGGCGCAGAGAAUAGGUCCAGGCAACUGUUUAGCAAAAACACAGGGCUGUGCGAAGCCGCAAGGCGCAGUAUACAGUCUGACACCUGCCCGGUGCCGGAAGGUUAAGCGGAGCUGUCAGAGCAAUCGAAGCAGUGAAGUGAAGCCCCGGUAAACGGCGGCCGUAACUAUAACGGUCCUAAGGUAGCGAAAUUCCUUGUCGGGUAAGUUCCGACCU
rnacentral:rRNA from 1 species